rnacentral:lncRNA from 1 species
CAGGAAGAUCUUGCCCUGUGGAGAAUGGUCAGAAAGUGGGCCCACAUCAAGAGAAAACCCUAUUUAUACGCAGACACCCAAAUCUUGGCCAUGUGCAGUAAAAAUGCUAAAAUGGAAACUUUAAGUUAGUUUCAGAGUUUGUAAAUUGUCUAGUUGUAAGUUGGAUAAAAUUCAAUUCCAUAUCUGUGGUCUGCUCACUUGAUCUCCUUUGGUGAAUUCCUUUGGCAAAUCAACUGAAGAUCCUCUUUUGCAAUCAACUGAGGGAUCUUGUUCUGCAAUGGACUCUCUCUGUGACAAGAUCUUGUCCUGGAGAUCUACA